UGCAAGACGAACGAGAAAGAGGAGCAAUCCAUGAGUACAGUGGCGACCGGGUGAGUAACACGUGACUACCUACCCUUGAGUGGGGGAUAACCUCGGGAAACCGAGGCUAAUACCGCAUAAUAUCGAGAGAUCAAAGGAGAAAUCCGCUUUUGGAGGGGGUCGCGGCUGAUUAGCUAGUUGGUGAGGUAAUGGCCCACCAAGGCGAAGAUCGGUAUCCGGACUGAGAGGGCGCACGGACACACUGGAACUGAAACACGGUCCAGACUCCUACGGGAGGCAGCAGUGGGGAAUUUUGCGCAAUGGGGGAAACCCUGACGCAGCAACGCCGCGCGGAGGAUGAAGCCCCUUGGGGUGUAAACUCCUUUCGACCGGGAAAAUAAUGAUGGUACCGGUGGAAGAAGCACCGGCUAACUCUGUGCCAGCAGCCGCGGUAAUACAGAGGGGGCAAGCGUUGUUCGGAAUUACUGGGCGUAAAGGGCACGUAGGCG
rnacentral:rRNA from 1 species